rnacentral:rRNA from 1 species
AUUGAACGCUGGCGGCAGGCCUAACACAUGCAAGUCGAACGAGUGGCGGACGGGUGAGUAAUGUCUGGGAAACUGCCUGAUGGAGGGGGAUAACUACUGGAAACGGUAGCUAAUACCGCAUACCAUCGGAUGUGCCCAGAUGGGAUUAGCUAGUAGGUGGGGUAAAGGCUCACCUAGGCGACGAUCCCUAGCUGGUCUGAGAGGAUGACCGGACCAAAUGGAAGUGAGACAGGGUCCAGACUCCGCCGGGGUGCAGAAUGUGGGAAUAGUGCACAAUGGGCGCAAGCCUGAUGCAGCCAUGCCGCGUGUAUGAAGAAGGCCUUCGGGUUGUAAAGUACUUUCAGCGGGGAGGCGUUACCCGCAGAAGAAGCACCGGCUAACUCCGUGCCAGCAGCCGCGGUAAUUC